UGGGGAAUAUUGGACAAUGGGCGAAAGCCUGAUCCAGCCAUGCCGCGUGUGUGAAGAAGGUCUUCGGAUUGUAAAGCACUUUAAGUUGGGAGGAAGGGCAGUAAGUUAAUACCUUGCUGUUUUGACGUUACCGACAGAAUAAGCACCGGCUAACUCUGUGCCAGCAGCCGCGGUAAUACAGAGGGUGCAAGCGUUAAUCGGAAUUACUGGGCGUAAAGCGCGCGUAGGUGGUUUGUUAAGUUGGAUGUGAAAGCCCCGGGCUCAACCUGGGAACUGCAUCCAAAACUGGCAAGCUAGAGUACGGUAGAGGGUGGUGGAAUUUCCUGUGUAGCGGUGAAAUGCGUAGAUAUAGGAAGGAACACCAGUGGCGAAGGCGACCACCUGGACUGAUACUGACACUGAGGUGCGAAAGCGUGGGGAGCAAACAGGAUUAGAUACCCCCGUAGUCC
rnacentral:rRNA from 1 species